UGGGGGGGAGGGGCCUUGGGCCUUGGCCCUCGUUGCCACCCCUCUCCUGUC
rnacentral:precursor_RNA from 1 species